GGGUAGUUUACUACCGUUUGAAGGGGGUGGAAAGCUUCCAGGUCUUCCUGGGGGCGAGUACAUCCUAUUCUUAACCCUUGACUUUUUGCGCACUCAUGUUUCCUCGGCGGGCUUGCCUGCCGAAUGGACAAAUCAAUAACCUAUUUAAUAUUUAAUCAGCGUCUGAAUUAUUUUAAUAAUUACAACUUUCAACAACGGAUCUCUUGGUUCUGGCAUCGAUGAAGAACGCAGCGAAAUGCGAUAAGUAGUGUGAAUUGCAGAAUUCAGUGAAUCAUCGAAUCUUUGAACGCACAUUGCGCCCCUUGGUAUUCCAUGGGGCAUGCCUGUUCGAGCGUCAUUUGUACUCUCAAGCCUUGCUUGGUGUUGGGCAACGCGGUCCGCCGCGUGCCUCAAAUCGUCCGGCUGGGUCUUCUGUCCCCUAAGCGUUGUGGAAACUAUUCGCUAAAGGGUGUUCGGGAGGCUACGCCGUAAAACAACCCCAUUUCUAAGGUUGACCUCGGAUCAGGUAGGGAUACCCGCUGAACUUAAGCAUAUCAAUAAGCGGAGGA
rnacentral:rRNA from 1 species